rnacentral:lncRNA from 1 species
CCUUAUCAUAUUUCUUCUCAAGUGUCGAGCACCUUGUAAAUGGUCAUAUUUAUGCUCUAGAAAAGGAUGGUGAAGUUGAAGAGGAAGGAUUGAUCUAUAAGAAGAUUGAAGGAAGAGGAGCAACCAACUGGAUUAUGUUGGAAUUACCCGAAGUAACAAUGUUGGAGAAGUAAUUUCCCUGUUUUGUGUUUUUCCCUUAAAAAAUCAAAGAACCCAUGCCAUGUCCAAGGCAUGGGGAAUCAUUUGUAGGGCCUCCGUCAAAUUUCCCUUUUU